GAUAACUGGCUUGUGGCGGCCCAGCGUUCAUAGCGACGUCGCUUUUUGAUAUUUUUGAUCCCUCGAUGUCGGCUCUUCCUAUCAUUGUGCUGCAACUAUCGCCCGCUAACAGGGGACAGGAGUUGGGUUUAGACCGUCGUGAAACAAAUU
rnacentral:ncRNA from 1 species